ncrna:unclassified sequences DTF3268 RNA
GGCAGGGGCUUGCGCUCAGGCUCUCAGUACUCCGGAAGAGCUCCCGGAGUUAGACUCUCCCCGCGGGAGAGGAACUGUUACGGAUUUUGCGCAAUGAGCGAUCCACACGGCGCAAGCA